rnacentral:rRNA from 1 species
UACGUAGGGUGCGAGCGUUGUCCGGAAUUACUGGGCGUAAAGAGCUCGUAGGUGGUUUGUCGCGUUGUCCGUGAAAACUCACAACUCAAUUGUGGGCGUGCGGGCGAUACGGGCAGACUGGAGUACUGCAGGGGAGACUGGAGUUCCUGGUGUAGCGGUGGAAUGCGCAGAUAUCAGGAAGAACACCCGUGGCGAAGGCGGCUCUCUGGUACGUGACUGACGCUGAGACGCGAAAGCGUGGGGAGCAAACAGG